GCAGUUGUGGCCUAAUGGUUAGAGCGUGGGACUUGUAACUCGAAGGUAAACCUGAAGGUCGUGGGUUCGAGUCUCGGGUCCGGCA